GCCAUGAGGAGGUGUAGAAAUCUAGUUUUCUCUGAGAACACUUGAAUUACAAUAUGCUGAAAGGUUAUUGUGGAAUUUUUGUCCAAUGAUGCCAAAAAAUUGUUGCCUCCUGAAGCUUUAACAUGUAAAAAAUGUGCGUGUUAACACGACCAAACUCUAUGCGUUAACGUGCAUUUUAAUGUUGUCUAAAGACGAAAUCUCUAAAAUGUUAUUUGCUCAAAUGGCCUUCCAUGAUUUUGUUGUGUCAAUGUGUAAAAAUAGUGUUAACACAACCAAACUCUUCACAUUAGCAUACAUUUUAAUAUCAAAAAUCUCUAAGAUAUUAUUGCGCAAAUGGCCUUCCAUAAAAAAUUCAGUGUUAACACACAUUAUAAUGGCGUCUGAAGACAAAAUCUGUAAGAUGUUAUUUGCGCAAAUCCAUAAAAAUCUGUGUUAACAAAAGCCUAGUAGUAGUAGUAGUAGUAGUAGUGGUAGUAGUAGUAGUAGUAGUAGUAGUAGUAGUAGUAGUAGCAGUAGUAUAGCGUUACGCCAGGAAUCGUUUCAGUCCAAUCCAUCACAGUAGGGUCAUGCUUGAGCUACAUUAAAACCUCCAUAGGAUGAAUGCUGAUAAUGAGCACUCUGUGAUGCAGUGUAGUAAAAUUUUCCUGGCAUCAAUAUGCAGUUCGUUUCUAUGACAGAAAGGCCACUGAAAUCUCAAAGAGUUAGCUAUGUUCUGUGUGUGUCCAUUCAUCUUUAAAUAUUACGAUGAUAUACAAUGGAAACCUCUUAUAGUGAUCACUUCUGUCAGGGUUAAAUUGAGUAAUAUAAGCGGAUGAUUUUUUUUUUUUCAUGCAGAUUACCAUCUAAUUGACAUUUUAAUAUUUAUUACAUGAAUACAUAGUAAUGAAACAGAGAGCCACACAUGCUUUCCCUGCACGCAUGCAUUCUCUGUCUCCAUCUCUAGCAGCCGUGGCUGUUUCUCGUUGUCUGAGAAGACUACA